CCAUCGCGGAUCUCUCCUGUUUAUUGGAACAAUUCCAAAGACAUUUCCGUUUUGGCCGAGUGCAGUAAAUCUUCGUGCUGUAAUAUUCGUAUAAGUUUGCGACUCGUGUAACUUUGUUUACAGCUGUGUUCCAUCUGGAUCUGUUCUCCGCGAAAUAUUUGGAAUUUUUAACGCGAAACACCACUUUUCGUAAUCGUUACGCUACUGUUUAGAUUGCAAUAAUACUGGUACUGCUAAAAUUGCGAAUUGAUCAUAUUUUAUAAGAACUUAUAGACUGAUAAUCGUUGAUGGACAUUUAAGGUAUCAGCGUUUCUUUUUCUCGACCUUACGGUCGAAAUUCAAGGAGACCGCGCCUAGAUCUAGCAAACAGUAUCGUCACGCUGUGCCGUCAAGAACAACGGCGUCUUUGAGAAGAUUCGACGCGUUCGAUCGACAGGAUCCGACGAGUACAUGCCCUUCGCGCGAACGUAAGAAGAAUUACCUACAGAUACCUACAGAUAAGCACACAGAUCGCGUAGAAAAAUCGGACCAAUCAUCAUGGAAGAAUCUUUUUUACGAUUUUCUAAACUCUCCGAUUUCUAUCAAGCAAACGAUUACUCGAAUAAACUGCUAGCUCUAUUCGAAUGAAAAUGGAAGCGAUGGAAACGGGCGAACCUAUUAAUAAAAAUCACUCGUUCCCGUCUCCUUGAGGUCUACGUGUAUGCAUUUCCUACGUGUGUUCAGCAUGCGAACGAUAAGCCGAUCGUUAGUUUGCACGUGUUCCCUGGUACACACGCGUAAGUACUUUUGAUACGUGACAUCACUCAGCGGCGGAUUGCUCCGUCAAUCGUAGCUUCCACGCUCGCCAGAACAGCGUCGGGGCUCUUCAAGGCCUGCUAUAAAAUUCAUCAGACAACCAUAAAGCUCUGUAAAUUCAGCGUGUGGACGAGCGCGUGUAUCGCGACGGAGGAAGCAAGUUUCGAGGCGAUCGCCGUGCCGAGUACAAAUCCAUCGUGAAACGGUAAACAACGGUCAUCCACGCGCAUUCUGAUCAUCGUAGGCGUAACAUUACGCGAACAAGCUGACAAUCACGACAGGGAGUGGUGAAAGGUCGAAUGAGACGACUUAUACGCAUUGAAAUUUCAUUAUUUACGCUGUAUCAAAUAUUUUCUUCGUCUCAAUAAAAUGUACAACUUCG
rnacentral:misc_RNA from 1 species